ANUUUAACGCUAGUACAGGCUUAACACAUGCAAGUCGGGGGGGCAGCAUGUAGGUUGCUUGCAACCUAUGAUGGCGACCGGCGCACGGGUGCGUAACGCGUAUCCAACCUUCCCCGCAGUAGGGUCCAGCCCGUUGAAAGACGGAUUAAUCCCCUAUGCUGUCCAUUGACGGCAUCCGAUUUGGACGAAAGGUUUCACCGCUGCGGGAUGGGGAUGCGUAGGAUUAGGUAGUCGGCGGGGUAACGGCCCACCGAGCCUUCGAUCCUUAGGGGUUCUGAGAGGAAGGUCCCCCACACUGGAACUGAGACACGGUCCAGACUCCUACGGGAGGCAGCAGUGAGGAAUAUUGGUCAAUGGAGGCAACUCUGAACCAGCCAAGUAGCGUGCAGGACGACGGCCCUACGGGUUGUAAACUGCUUUUAUGCGGGGAUAAACGGCAUUACGUGUAGUGCUUUGCAGGUACCGCAUGAAUAAGGACCGGCUAAUUCCGUGCCAGCAGCCGCGGUAAUACGGAAGGUCCAGGCGUUAUCCGGAUUUAUUGGGUUUAAAGGGAGCGCAGGCGGCACUUCAAGCGUGACGUUAAAUUUCGGGGCUCACCCCCGUUUUGCGUCGCGAACUGUUGUGCUUGAGUAGGCGGCAGGGAGGCGGAAUUCGCGGUGUAGCGGUGAAAUGCUUAGAUAUCGCGAGGAACUCCGAUAGCGCAGGCAGCCUCCCGUUGCUUUACUGACGCUCAUGCUCGAGUGCGGUAUCGACAGGAUAGAUACCUGUAGUCGCACUGUAACAUGAUGCCGCUGUU
rnacentral:rRNA from 1 species